GUUUAACAGCUCAGCUAGCAGAGCAUGAGACUCUUAAUCUCAGGGUUGUGAGUUUGAGCCCCACGUUGGGCA